GUGAAAAAUGCUUCUAUUUAAACUAAUAUACUUGCAGAAUUUACAUAUGCACCUUGUUAUAGGCUGAACUGUGCCCUCCCUAAAUUCUGAUGCUGAAGCCCUAAUAUCCAAGGUGACAGUAUUUGGAUAUGGGGCCUUUAAGGAGGUAAUAAAGGGUAAAUGAGGUCAUAAAGGUGGGAUUCUGAUCCAAUAGAACUGGUGUCCUUAUAAGAAGAGGAAGAGAUACCAAGCGUGUGUGUUCACAGAGGAAAGGCCAUGUGAGGACAAAGUGAGAAAGAGGCUGUCUGUAAGCCAGGAAGAAAUUUCUCACCAGAAACCAACCCUGCUGGCACCUUGAUCAGGGACUUCCCAGCCUCCAGAACUGUGAGAAAAUAAAUUUCUGUUGUUUAAGCUAGCUGGUCUGUGGUGCUUUAUGACAGCAGCCCUGCCCGACUUAAACAGACCUCAAGCAGUAAUAGACAGAACUGGAAUGUAGAAAAUUGAAAGAGUAAUGUGAAAGAAUAAUUUCAGAAUCUGUUUUUCGAAUGUGGAGGAAAGUAGAAACUGAUCUAAAGAAGCGAGUGGGAAGAUCUAAGUCGUGGGAGAGAGAGAAAGAGAGAAUGGUGAUCCAACGUUGAUAGUGACAUUGAUUGCAGCUGAGAAAUUAUUUGAAGUCAACCAGAUGGCUGAGGAUGAGACCUGCUACCUAGCAGAGAGGGGUUCUUCCCACACCGCCUGCCGGAAAUCACAAUCCACAAAACCGAGCCAUCAGGAAUGAUGGAGACAAUGGUUGCAACAGGUUUUUCCCUGAAUUCUCUGGCCCCAGUGUUUUGCAAGGACAAUGUUUGGCCCUGGGAGCAGCAAUAUCCACAGAAAAAGGAACCUCUGCAACAGACAAGACAUUCUAGUUUUCUUUCCAUAAUUGAGACUGACCUCGUGAAAUGACUUAGUGGAGCUGGAGUUCUUGCAACUAAUCACAGGGAGCGGAUAAAUACGUUCUCAUGAUGAGGGAAAAGCAGGUCCACAAACGUGUUAUGAAAUAUCUCAGUUGUGAACUCAGUGAAGCCCUGGGACACCAGGUCCUCUUUGCUCUUGGAAGACACAGCCUUGGAUGGCUGCAAUUCCUUGCUGUCACUCAGCAGCGCCUCCAAGUGGCAGAAUCCCAAAGCUCCAUAGAAGCAGUUCCCAUCAGGCCUGGUCUUGCAGCCAUAUCUCAUGAGGAAUACCGCUGCUCCUCAGCUUUGCCAAGGUUUGGUGUUUCCACUGGUUUGUAUUCACUGCCGCUUUGAUGGGAGCAAACUCACGUUUCUUUAUGGUUUGCAUUCUCUUUCUCUCAUAACUCAUGUGAUAAAGCAUUUUGU
rnacentral:lncRNA from 1 species